UGGCGCACGGGUGAGUAACGCGUGGAUUAUCUACCUAUUGGUACGGGACAACAGUUGGAAACGACUGCUAAUACCGUAUAAGCUGGUAACGGGAAAGGGGGCCUCUUCUUGAAAGCUCUCGCCAGUAGAUGAGUCCGCGUUUCAUUAGCUAGACGGUGGGGUAACGGCCUACCGUGGCAACGAUGAAUAGCAGGCCUGAGAGGGUGGCCUGCCACACUGGGACUGGAACACGGCCCAGACUCCUACGGGAGGCAGCAGUGGGGAAUAUUGCGCAAUGGACGAAAGUCUGACGCAGCGACGCCGCGUGGAGGAUGAAGGUUUUCGGAUCGUAAACUCCUGUCAAGAGGGAAGAGACCUAUUAGGAAUAAUACUCCUAGUAAUUGACGGUACCUCUAGAGGAAGCACCGGCUAAUUCAGUGCCAGCAGCCGCGGUAAUACUGAAGGUGCAAGCGUUAAUCGGAAUCACU
rnacentral:rRNA from 1 species